GACAAAUAAUGUCUUAGUAUAUAAAUAGUCUACUUCACAGACCCUGUGAAAGUGUUUCUGAGCUCUGCUCAGGUCCCCAAAUCACACUUAGAGAAUCCUUGCCCUGGGACAACCUUUUGAGUUGAUAUUAUUACCUUUAUCUAUGAUAUUUAACUUUGAAGAAACUGAACCUCAGUGAGAUUAAAAGACCUGAUAAACAUGAGAGAGGAGGACACCAAGACAAAACAGGGAAAUGGAAAAACUGGGCAGACUUUGGGACUCAUACAAUUUAGAAAAAGCAGAAGUGAUGUAAUCCAGAGGCAGUCUCAGUGAUAAACUGUAUGUUCCUGGAUCCCUGCAGCUCCAUAAUAACAACAACAUAUUUCCCUGAUCACUAUGGGGAGGUCUAAAAUC
ensembl:lncRNA